CUUCCUGUUGCCUAUGCGUCAAUAUAAGAGCUCUCAGCUCUUUCCCCCGCACCAUCACUAACUGCAUGCUUCGCACCAUGACAAUAGUGGACUAAAUCUCUGAUCUGCAAGUGAGCCACUCCAAUGAAAUGUUUUUGUUUAUGAGUUGCUGUGGCCAUGGUGUCUCUUCACAGCAAUUGAAACCCUAACUAGGACAGCGGGGAUUAUGGAGGAUGCUGCAUGCUAGCUGGCUUACAAGCUCACGCCUGGGUAGCUUCUUAUAUAGUCCUGGACCACCUGCUAGAGAAUGGUGCUUCCCACAGUGGGCUUUACCCUUCUACAUCAAUUAACCAUCAAGACUCCCCUCCACAGGCCAAUCUCAGCCGAGCAAACCCUCAACUGAGACUCCCUUCUCGGAUGACUCUAGGCUGUGUCAAGUGGACAGUUAAAGCUAAGUAGGACAGGAAGCAGGGGAUACUGUAUCUGGUACUGUCUGCGCCAUUCUGUCUUUUCAGAACUCACUUCCGCAGUCCUUUCCAAAGCUUACAAAAGCAGUAAACGAUUGCAAGUCCGGCAGGGAGCUCCAGGAUGAAGCUUUCUUGAAUUGUUGCCCAUCCUGGAGUGGGAUUUUUGGUAACUGAGCUGCCAUUGACUCACACACAUUCCUGUAUCUGAGAACUGACACACGGAGUCUGCCAUCUCGCUGGGCAGACGAGGGAAGGAGCAAAGUUUUUCAACCCUGGCAUCACCUGGGAGAAUCACUGCAAAUCAGAUGUGCGAGAAGGAGGUACCAUGUACAGCCUGGUGCAGAUAGAGGCUUCUGGGCAUCGAAUACUCUUUCCUAUCCUCUGGAUGAGCCCUCACCUCACGCCGCCAGAGUGGCCUAUGGAGAGAUCCUCACCCCAUCUCACUGAGGUGCUGAUGAAUUAUUGAACCAGCGUAUCGUCAGAGAACCUAUGCCGUUAAGCACAAAUCAAGAGAUGGGCAAGAGUGCAUUUCAUCACAUGAUCAUAUUACAUCACGUGACCUGGUCCAACAACAAGAGAAGGCAUACCUCUUCUAAAGAGAGCAUUGGCCCUGUGCCAAGGUGAGGAUGGAAGAAAAAUAAAUGAAAAUUAAGAAAAGCUGAAAGAAAACCAACUGUGCACAGCCUUUGGGAAAUCCAUUUGUGGCCACCGAGUCAGCAUCCAUCUGGAGUACACCAGCAUUUUCACACCAUCCAAGACGGAAAGAAAUGGACGAGUCCCAAGAGCAAGACUAAUGUUUGAAUAAAAGCCAUUUUCUGAAUGACCCGCA